GAUGAAGAACGUAGCGAAAUGCGAUAAGUAGUGUGAAUUGCAGAAUUCAGUGAAUCAUCGAAUCUUUGAACGCACAUUGCGCCCUUGGUAUUCCAUGGGGCAUGCCUGUUCGAGCGUCAUUUGUACCUUCAAGCUCUGCUUGGUGUUGGGUGUUUGUCUCGCCUCUGCGUGUAGACUCGCCUCAAAACAAUUGGCAGCCGGCGUAUUGAUUUCGGAGCGCAGUACAUCUCGCGCUUUGCACUCAUAACGACGACGUCCAAAAGUACAUUUUUACACUCUUGACCUCGGAUCAGGUAGGGAUACCCGCUGAACUUAAGCAUAUCAAUAAGCGGAGGA
rnacentral:misc_RNA from 1 species